GAUGAACGCUGGCGGCGUGCCUAAUACAUGCAAGUCGAGUGAACUUACGCGAAGCUCGCUCCUCUGAUGUUAGCGUCGGACGUGUGAGUAUCACGUGGAUAACCCUCCUAUAAGACUGCUAUUACUUCGUGAAAUCGGAGCUAUUACCGGUAACUACUUUGAUCCGCAUGGAUCAAAAGUGCUACACGGUCUUGCCGUCACUUCUAGAUGGAUCCGCGCAGCAUAAGUUAGUGGGUAAGGUAACUGCUUACCAAGGCAACGAUGCAUAGCCGACCUAAGAGAGGACUGGUAGCCGCUGGAACGAGGACGCGGACCAGACUCCUAAGGGAGGCAGCAGUAGGAAAUCUUCGGCAAGGGGCAGAAGCCUGACGGAGGAACGCCGCGUGAGUGAUGAGGAGCUUCGGAUCGUAAAACUCUGUUAUUAGGGAAGAGCAAAUGUGUAAGAAACGGUGCGAAUCUUGACGGUACCUAAUCAGAAAGCGGCGGCUAACUACGUG
rnacentral:rRNA from 1 species